rnacentral:rRNA from 1 species
UACAGAGGUCUCAAGCGUUGUUCGGAUUCAUUGGGCGUAAAGGGUGCGUAGGUGGUGAUGCAAGUCUGGUGUGAAAUCUCGGGGCUUAACUCCGAAACUGCAUUCGAUACUGCCGUGCUUGAGGACUGGAGAGGAGACUGGAAUUUACGGUGUAGCGGUGAAAUGCGUAGAUAUCGUAAGGAAGACCAGUGGCGAAGGCGGGUCUCUGGACAGUUCCUGACGCUGAGGCACGAAGGCCAGGGGAGCAAACGGG